AAAAUACACCCGUACGCAUCUGCUCCUCUCCUCGAUCCUCACCUUUGCCCAGGCCGAUCUAUUCCCCCUCGCCGCCGCCACACCCCAGCCCCCUCGCCGUCGCGGCCGCACCUCAGCCUGCUCGCCGCCCCCGUCGCCGCCUCCGCGGUCGCACCUCAGCCCGCUCGCCGCCCCCGUCGCAACCCAACCCUUCCUCCCCUCCAAUGGAUGCCGCCCCAACCACCUCAUCCAAUAGGAAGCCCCAGUUCGGUAGCCUCUGUUCCCGCCCUUCAGCGGCCACCUCGCCACCCCUCCAACGCCCAUCACGUCCUUAUCCAACGCUGCCCUUCAGCGCCCACCCAUCCGCCUGCCCGCCCGACAACGCCCGAUUGAAUUGUUGCUGCCAAGAUCUGCCUCAAUGUGGUUUACAUCAUUGCGGCCACGACAUCGUCGAUCUUCGACUCCGGCGGCUACAUCCAGAAGGACUACCACAAUUAUCGCGGCUGAUGGCUGUGGAAAUCUGGAAAAUUUGCCUUUUCUAUCAAGAUGAGAAUCAACAACAUAAAGUUCUAGAAGGAUUCAUGGACAGAAAAGAUAUCUCCUUUUAUGAGUUAAUCAAAUUGAUUGAAGAAGUUGGCUUCUCGCUGGCAUAUGGUUUCUUGUACUACAGGAAGAAAUACCCACGUGGUAGCUCUUUCAAAGAUAGCUCGCUCGUCGUAUCUCGACAGAAGAAGAACAACUUUGAUCGAUGGAGAUGGAUUUCUUUCCUGUUGGUGUGAUUCAGGGAAGCUAUUUGUGAUGUAAUAUGCAGCUAAAGGUAUUCCAGCAUGAGCUUCCAUGCACAACAUCAGUGCUUAAAGUAAAGGCUUCAGGUCUUAAAAGUAAAGUACACCCAUGGCUUAACUUAGUUUCCUUUUCUUAUAGAUAACUUGAUUCUCUUGUUACAGAUAACUUGAUUCUCUGCUCACAACUAACUACAGCAAGAAAUAAUUUCACAGGUAGCCUUUUCCUUUUCACUGCUUUGACAACAUUAUUUUUUGAGAACUGACAACAUUUUAAUAUGGUAUCACCCGUUGCAACACAUUCUAAUUAUGCAGCCACAGAUCGCGUCCAAGCAUAGCCAGCCUUGGUCCAAGGAGAUAGAGAAGUACUGACAAGGUGGCUCGUUCGCAAGUUGGAGCCGUCCAUGAGCUCACUGCUCUUGGUCGCUCACAGCAAAGAACUGCAUGUUGGCUGGGAUCUUGCCCAUGUAAUAUCUUCAGUACUGUAAUGGCAGAUUGUACUUAUUUUUUUGUAAUUUUUUGGUGUUUAGGCCAUGCCUAUUGGGCCAAGAGGUAGACCCCGUCCCGACCCGCUAAAUGCAUUUACAGUUUGCAGAAAUAUGGCUUUUCGGGCCGGCGCGGGGGCUGAAUAUCCUUUUUUACAGGUCCGCUUUGCGCUGGCCGGCGAA